ACGCUGGCGGCGUGCCUAAUACAUGCAAGUAGAACGCUGAAGCUUGGUGCUUGCACCGAGCGGAUGAGUUGCGAACGGGUGAGUAACGCGUAGGUAACCUGCCUCUUAGCGGGGGAUAACUAUUGGAAACGAUAGCUAAUACCGCAUAAAAGUCAAUAUCGCAUGAUGUUGACUUGAAAGGUGCAUUUGCAUCACUAAGAGAUGGACCUGCGUUGUAUUAGCUAGUUGGUGAGGUAACGGCUCACCAAGGCGACGAUACAUAGCCGACCUGAGAGGGUGAUCGGCCACACUGGGACUGAGACACGGCCCAGACUCCUACGGGAGGCAGCAGUAGGGAAUCUUCGGCAAUGGGGGCAACCCUGACCGAGCAACGCCGCGUGAGUGAAGAAGGUUUUCGGAUCGUAAAGCUCUGUUGUAAGAGAAGAACGAGUGUGAGAGUGGAAAGUUCACACUGUGACGGUAACUUACCAGAAAGGGACGGCUAACUACGUGCCAGCAGCCGCGGUAAUACGUAGGUCCCGAGCGUUAUCCGGAUUUAUUGGGCGUAAAGCGAGCGCAGGCGGUUAGAUAAGUCUGAAGUUAAAGGCUGUGGCUUAACCAUAGUACGCUUUGGAAACUGUUUAACUUGAGUGCAGAAGGGGAGAGUGGAAUUCCAUGUGUAGCGGUGAAAUGCGUAGAUAUAUGGAGGAACACCGGUGGCGAAAGCGGCUCUCUGGUCUGUAACUGACGCUGAGGCUCGAAAGCGUGGGGAGCAAACAGGAUUAGAUACCCUGGUAGUCCACGCCGUAAACGAUGAGUGCUAGGUGUUGGGUCCUUUCCGGGACUCAGUGCCGCAGCUAACGCAUUAAGCACUCCGCCUGGGGAGUACGACCGCAAGGUUGAAACUCAAAGGAAUUGACGGGGGCCCGCACAAGCGG
rnacentral:rRNA from 1 species